UUCCCUUUAGCUUGAUGAAGGUUGUCCCUGCAGCUGUGGACUUUGCUGGUCAGUAGCAGUCAUCUUUCCAGUGCUCAGCAUCUAUCUGCCAGGGAUCUGUGCAAGGCUGCCGUGAGGUCUUUACUGAACUCAGGUUCAACUGCUCGCCUCUCAAAAGUCAACACUCGAGAGAAUAGUGUUAGCAGCUAAACACAGAGAGACCGCCUGAGGUGGACUGCGCAGCCUGGGACAGCCCUCCUGACUAAGGCAUGGAGAAAGGAGAGCCAUCAGCCUGCCAGGUUAGGUCCACUGAGGCACCUGCUGGAAGGGAGCAUGAGCUGGUAAGGACAAGGAAAGAAUUCCAUCCUCAGCCCCCAGGCG